UAUAAUCCUUCAUAACCGCUUCCACCAUUGUCGAAGAAAUUAUAUUUGAUUUAUGAUUCUUAUUCCCCCAAAUCAUUAACUUUAUUCUCUCUUUCGAUUAUUUGUCGUCUCAGGAUAUAAUUCUUUCUAGGGUUUUUUCUUAUAUUUUGUUUACGUUUGUGUACUUAUAUUUCUACAUUGUAGAUGUCGAGGAGCGAAGGCGAUGAUGAACAUAAUCCUAGGUACGUGUGAUUUGAUUCCCAACUUCCAAACCCCGCAUACCCAACGCUUUCUCGCAAAUGGGGUUUUGUCAGCUUAUUUAUGUUCAAGAUCGAUUUUGCUGCUAAAUUUGACUAUUGAAUAAGGUAAUUCAUUAUUACCAUUUUCUAUAUUUUUGCUAAUAUUUUUGAAUUCCUGAUCAUGUUUUGUGUUGCUUGUUUUUAGUAUAAGCUUAAAGGGAAGGCUGAUUGUAUUAUGCUCUUUUGACUACCCGGUGAUAUAGGAAAAAUAACUUUUCAACCGGUCAUAUUUCAACCCUUGGAAUUGUUAUUUUUCUAUAUUCUGCUUUAGGUGAUUAGGCACAAAGGAGAUGAAUUAGGCGCAUGGGAAUUAUUUGACCAUGGCUUUUUGCAACUCAUGUGAUUUUUUUUUUGUAGAUGUUACAAUUCAUGUAUAUUUUUAUUGACUUUACUAAGAACAUCAAUUUUUUAAUUUUUUUUAACCAUGUAGUAGUUCUCGCAAAUCUGCUUUUCAGGUCCGUCCAUGAUAUCUUGUUGGAGUUGGAGAAAUGAAUGAUGAACCUCUGAGCACUAACAUUUUUUAACUUAUCACGAUGUCCAAGCUUUGGGGUGUUGAGUUAAAAGGUCAAAGCUGGUGGAUUUGAUUAUCAAGGUUUAUGUUUCUGGUAUGAACCAAAGAAGUUUUAUUUCAUUUUGUGGCUUUGGUGGAUCUCUUUUUUGAGUAUCAAAAUGGAAGUAACUUUUGAUCCUUUUUUAGAUAAUAUAAUUGAUUUCUCCAUUCUAUGUGAAUUAAUUACAUGCCUUUUAAUGAUUAUUUUAUUUAUUUGUAGACA